GGAGACUUGAUGUGGUCUACAGGUGUGGAGAAGGGUACACGAGACCUGGGGUGGGCCAUCUGGUAAAAACCCACCGCCCUUGGCUGAAACCUGGCUGGAAAUGUGGAAGCUAACCCUGGGUGGUCUUGGAUUCCUGGUACCAAAGGUCUUCCUAAAGGACUGAGAGGUCGGAGGGAGGUUGGGAAGGAAGACACCCCAACAUCGGACCCUCGACCUGAAGUCCAAGUUCCCAUGUGGUGCAGGGAGACCCGGCCUGAGGGAAGAAUGUGAAUCACCCGACGUAGCCAUCCCGAACCGACUCCACCUGUUGUCCCAGACAAGCAGCCUGCGCAUUCCCACACCCUGUUCUCCCGGGAGGACAGAGAGGCAGGGAAUGUCAGGAGUGACCCCGACGACGCGCUCCACUUAGGCAACAGCGCAUCCUGCUCCUUCCGGAGGCCUGGCUCACCCUGAAGCCCAGCCCUGGGUCCCUAUAAAUGUGUCCCUGUGGCUGGCUCCUCAGGGAAGCCUCUGCAGUGUGUCUGGGAGCCGGGUCUCCCCCAACCCCACCAAGACGUCCUGUCAGCAAAGCCAGCAGCAGUGCCAGCCCCCUCCCAAAUGUCCCACUCCCAAAUGUCCCCCUAAGUGUCCCCCCAAGUGCCCAGCCCCUUGCUCACCUCCGGUCUCUUCCUGCUGCGGUUCCGGAGGUGGGGGCUGCUGCCUGAGCCACCACCAGCCCCGCAGGUCUCUCCGUCACCGUCGCCGACACCAGGGCUCUGGCUGCUGCGGCAGUGGUGGUGGCUGCUGUGGCGGCAGCGGUGGGGGGGGGCCAGCAGAGAGGGGGCUCGGGCGGCUGCUCUGGAGGCUGCUGCUGAGCUGGGCCAGGAGAUCCCUGAAGAACAGGACUCACCUAAAGGGCAAAGGACUAUCCCAGCCUGGAGGGUGACCUCCGCCUCCCUCCUCUGCUCUCCUCUGUCUCCAUCCAUCCAAUAACCCUGCAAGGCUGGCUUCUCAGAGGCCACCACAGCUCUGCGCAUUUUGUGAACUUGUCCUCUUUUGCCUUAUGCCAAUAUCUACAUUCAUAAGAUCAUCGAAAAUAUCCUGAAGCAAGUGCUUCACAACAGUCAGUUUACUUUAAGCCUCAAUACGACUUUUCUUAAAAAAAAAAAAAUCACUUUUUUCCUUUUAUCUAAAUUCUAGUGCUUCUUGGAUAGGAAAAGAGAUUUUUUUUUUUUAAAACUGGAUUGGUGGAAAAUCAGUCUAAUAAACAUUAAUAAAUUACUUCUUUUAAAA